GCCAGGUGCAAUGGCAUGCUCCUGUAAUCCCAGCAGCUUGGGAGGCUGAGGCAGGAGGAUCGCAAGUUCAAAGCCAGCCUCAGCAAAAGUGAGGCACUAAGCAACUCUGGGAGACCUUGUCUCUA
rnacentral:sRNA from 1 species